AGAAGAGAGAGAAAUGAAAGAAAGAGAAGGGAAGAAGAAGGAAGAAAAAGGAAAGGAGAUGCUCGUUGUGCGACGUUGGGGUUAGAUUUUUUGAAUCCAAUAUCGGAAAAGUGAUCCCUGUCUUGGGAUCUAUGAUUUGAGGUUUUAGAAGGAGAAAUCGUAAGAUUUGAGAAGCAUUUAGUGAUUUCUUGAAUCAGAAAAGAGAUUUAGGGAUUUUUGAAGGUGUUCUUGAGCAAAGAGGUUCUACUAGAAAAUCACGUCACUACACGCCGAAUCUUUCUCGUACCAAGGGUGAAACAUUGCACAUAUCUAGUGGCUACUGCGUCAGAUGAUCCAGGCAGGUUUUGGGUUAACAGAUGUUAGCCCCGUCACCGGUCUAGUUCUGUGUGAACGUGGUGUGACAACUCUUGUGCUUAAGGGUGAUAAGUUUAGCUUGAGCCAAUGUCCUCAGAAUGAUUUGAAGCGAGAAAAGAUGAAAGGCAUUCUCUAUUCUUCAACCGUUGGAAGUCUUAUGUAUGCCAUGCCUUGUACUCGUCCAGAUAUUAGCUUUAUAGUUAGGAUGCUAGGCAGAUACAUCAGUAAUCUUGGUAUGGAUAUUUGGUGGCUGCCAAGAAGGUGACGUGUUAUUUAUAGGAAACGAAAGACUACAUGCUUACUUAUAGAGCAACUGAUCAGUUAGAAGUGACCAGUUAUUCAACUCUGAUUUUGUCAGUUGCCUCGAUAGCAGAAAGUCUACAUCUGGUUAUAUCUUUCUACUUGCUGGUGGGGCAAUUUCUUGAAAAUCCAAGAAACAGACUUGUGUCUCCACUUCUACCAUGGAAGUAGAGUUCGUGGCAUGCUUUGAGGCCACAUCAAUGGCGAUUUGGUUAUGAAAUUAUAUCUCUAGGUUUCGGGUUGUCAACUCCAUCAUGAAACCGCUGAGACUUUACUGUGACAACGUCGCCGCUGUUUACUACUUCAAGAAUGACAAGCAUUCUAGCAGAGCAAAGCAUAUUGGAGUGAAGUACAAAUUUGUGAAGGAAGCUGUUCAGGAACAGAAGGUGUAUGUAUCUCACAUAAAGACAAGUCUGAUGAUUGCAGAUCCAUUGACCAAGGCAAUUGUGCCUAAGCACUUUGUAGAUCUUAUAUCUGAUAUGGGUCUUACUAGAGUUUGAUGUAUUGGUCACGUUUUAUUAUAGACACCCUCUAUUAUUUGUUAUGAUCAUAUUUAUGGAUGUUCCUGAUCAUUUCUCAUUUCUAUCUUUGUGUAUACAAUUAUUGCGAUAUGAAUGAGAUAUUAUUGU